rnacentral:lncRNA from 1 species
AAAGUGUUAUUUGGCUGGAGUGAGGUCCCAUGUCUGUUUAUGCGGUGGCUCGCUGCUCAGGAUGGGGAGGAAGAGGGUAAUCUGGAAGAGUUUCCUGACGUACUCUGCUGCUGUGAUUAAACAACCACCAGGAAAUUUUGAUGACACUGUUCUCCUGAGCUCCUCCCUUUCCUCAGGGAACAAAAGCAUUGAAACUACAAAAAUAAAGUGUUAUUUAGCUGGAGUGAGGUCUCAUGGCUGUUUAUGCGGUGGCUCGCUGCUCAGUACAGGGAACCAUUGGAGAUACUCGUUACUCUUUGAAGGCUUACAGUGGAAUGAAUUCAAAUAUGACUUAUUUGAGGAAUUGAAGUUGACUUUAUGGAGCUGAUAAGAAUCUUCUUGGAAAAAAAAAGACUGGAUAUAUUUUCAAUAUGCUUUCCUUUUAAGGUCCCGCACCUGUGGAAAGUAAAGAAUGUCACUUUCUGACAGGCUCAGGAACCUCAAGUUAUGUAGGGAUCUCAAGAAGAUUGGGGGAAUUCACCCAGUUCAUACAGGUGAAAUUGCUGUUGCAAAGAUUAUGAAUAUGAGAGAAGUCCAGCAUGGCUGACUUCAUCUCAUGUCUGGCCUCAGGCUGGCUGCCCUUGCUCACUGUUGGGCAUAGGCCAAGCUAGCCAUGGGAGGAAUGUAGUUUAUAGUUUAACUUUGAAGCAAGGAUGAUAAUAGUCUCUCCCUAAAAUGAACCCCUUCCUUGCUCAGGGACUGAAACUACCUUUUUACGACAAAUGAAAGCCCGCAAGAUUAAGACUGUGAGAGGGGCCUGAAUUCUGCUAAAAUGCAGGUGUAGCUGACUGAUAACCAGUCAUUGUCCCACAGCUUGCCUUUCUAUAAUCUGUUGCUCCUCAGGAAUCACAUGGCCAGAGGUCCUGAGAUUUCCAGUCCUGUGACCCCCACCCAGAGAUGGACUUAGUGCAUGAGGACCAUUUUCCACACCCCUAUGAUUUCAUUCUCAAACAAUCAGCACCCAUUCCCUAGCUCCCUGCCUGCCAAAUUAUCCAUAAAAGUCCUAGCCCCUGAGUUAUUA